rnacentral:rRNA from 2 species
CGUAGCAUACGUCAUCGGCAGACGGGUGAGUAACGCUUGGAAAAGUAGCUUUUGGUUCGGAACAACACAGGGAAACUUGUGCUAAUACCGGAUAAGCCCUUACGGGGAAAGAUUUAUCGCCGAAAGAUCGGCCCGCGUCUGAUUAGCUAGUUGGUGAGGUAAUGGCUCACCAAGGCGACGAUCAGUAGCUGGUCUGAGAGGAUGAUCAGCCACAUUGGGACUGAGACACGGCCCAAACUCCUACGGGAGGCAGCAGUGGGGAAUAUUGGACAAUGGGCGCAAGCCUGAUCCAGCCAUGCCGCGUGAGUGAUGAAGGCCCUAGGGUUGUAAAGCUCUUUUGUGCGGGAAGAUAAUGACGGUACCGCAAGAAUAAGCCCCGGCUAACUUCGUGCCAGCAGCCGCGGUAAUACGAAGGGGGCUAGCGUUGCUCGGAAUCACUGGGCGUAAGGGUGCGUAGGCGGGUCUUUAGUCGGGGGUGAAUCCUGGAGCUCACUCCAGAACUGCCUUUGAUACUGAGGAUCUUGAGUCGGGAGAGGUGAGUGGAACUGCGAGUGUAGAGGUGAAAUUC